GCCGGGUGCAGUGGCACGUACCUGUAGUCCCAGCUACUCAAGAGGCUGAGGUGGGUGGAUUGCUUGAGCCCAGGAGUUCUGGGCUGUAGUGUGCUAUUGCCAAUCAGGUGUCCGCAGUAAGUUCGGCAUCAAUAUGGUGACCUCCUGGGAGCGGGAGACCACCAGGUUGUCCAAGGAGGGGUGAACCAGCCCAGGUCGGAAACGGAGCAGGUCAAAACUCCUGUGCUGAUUAGUAGUGGGAUUGCAUCUGUGAAUAGCCACGCACUCCAGCCUGGGCAACAUAGCGAGACCCGUUUCUU
ensembl:misc_RNA Metazoa_SRP Metazoan signal recognition particle RNA